CUUGGUCAUUUAGAGGAAGUAAAAGUCGUAACAAGGUUUCCGUAGGUGAACCUGCGGAAGGAUCAUCAUUGAAUGUCCCGGCAUUAAGCCGGCAGAGUGCACACUCACGCCGCCCUUGUGGUGGCUACUCUCAAACCCAAACCAGUCUGUGUAUGUGUAAUUUGUAAUAAAAUACAACUUUCAACAACGGAUCUCUUGGCUCUCGCAUCGAUGAAGAACGCGGCGAAAUGCGAUAAGUAAUGUGAAUUGCAGAUUUCAGUGAAUCAUCGAAUCUUUGAACGCACCUUGCGCUCCUAGGUCUUCCGAGGAGCAUGCCUGUUUGAGUGCCCAGAAUUACUCUCAACCAACACCUUUGUGUAUUGGUUGGAUGUGGGGGUCUGCCGUGUUCACACGGCUCCUCCUAAAUGUGUUAGCUCAUGGGUGAUGAACCGCUGUCGGCUUGAUAUUAAUGUCUAUGCUGCAGUUGCUCAUGUGCCGUGGCUUCCAAUCGUCCUUUGGACAAUUAUUCUAACCUCGGGCCUCAAAUCAGGUAGGACUACCCGCUGAACUUAAGCAUAUCAGUAAGCGGAGGAAAAGAAACUAACAAGGAUUCCCCUAGUAACGGCGAGUGAAGCGGGAAAAGCUCAAAUUUAAAAUCUGGCAUCCUCUGGGUGUCCGAGUUGUAGUCUAGAGAGGCGCUUUCUGUGCUGGACCGUGUAAAAGUCUCUUGGAACAGAGCAUCAUAGAGGGUGAGAAUCCCGUCUUUGACACGGACUGCCAGUGCUAUGUGAUGCGCUCUUCAAAGAGUCGAGUUGUUUGGGAAUGCAGCUCAAAAUGGGUGGUAAAUUCCAUCUAAAGCUAAAUAUUGGCGAGAGACCGAUAGCGAACAAGUACCGUGAGGGAAAGAUGAAAAGCACUUUGGAAAGAGAGUUAAACAGUACGUGAAAUUGUUGAAAGGGAAGCGCUUGAAGUCAGUCGCGUCCGCCGGAACUCAGCCUCGCCCCUAGCUUGGCGCACUUUCCGGUGGACGGGCCAGCAUGGAUUUUGACCAUUGGAAAAGGGCCCAUGGGAAGGUGGCACCCUCUGGGUGUGUUAUAGCCCCGGGUCGUAUACUUUGGUUGGGAUCGAGGAACUCAGCACCAUCGUGCUUAGGAUGCUGGCGUAAUGGCUUUAAACGACCCGUCUUGAAACACGGACC
rnacentral:rRNA from 1 species